AGGUGACUGCCACCUGCCUUACAGACUUUGAUGCUGGUUUUUUUGUUUUUGUUUUUGUUUUUUAAGCUUAGGCAAUGGCAGCUACAUAAUUGCUGAUGUCUAGCCAAUAGUGACUAUAAAACACUGAAGGCACUUGACUUUGGCAGAUAUUGAGAGAAUAGCCCCACUGGCUGAGGGGGCCUUACCUUACAACCUGGCAGAACUUCAAAGAAAGGUGAGAAUUCUACCACUGAACUAUCCGUGCCUCCUUAUGGCCAUGUGACAAAGAGGAUGACCGAAGUGACACCAGUAAUGUCAAACAAGGGAGGGGAGACAACGAUGGGG